GAAAUGCGAUAAGUAAUGUGAAUUGCAGAAUUCAGUGAAUCAUCGAAUCUUUGAACGCACCUUGCGCCCCUUGGUAUUCCGAGGGGCAUGCCUGUUUGAGUGUCAUUAAAUUCUCAACUCCUCCAGCUUUCGGGUUGGCUUGGGGCUUGGAUGUGAGGGUUUGUGCGGGCUUCUUUUCAAUAAGAGGUCGGCUCCCUUUAAAUGCAUUAGCGGAACGUCUUCGUGGACCGUCACUUGGUGUGAUAAUUAUCUACGCCUUACACUGACAAUGAAGCGAAAUGGUUCAGCUCUCUAACCGUCUUCGGACAACUCUUUUGAAAUUUGACCUCAAAUCAGGUAGGACUACCCGCUGAACUUAA
rnacentral:rRNA from 1 species